GUUGACGGGGGCCCGCACAAGCGGUGGAGCAUGUGGUUUAAUUCGACGCAACGCGAAGAACCUUACCAGGCUUGACAUCCCCUGACCGCGUAUGAAAGUACGUUUUCACCCUCGGGUGACAGGGAGACAGGUGGUGCAUGGUUGUCGUCAGCUCGUGUCGUGAGAUGUUGGGUUAAGUCCCGCAACGAGCGCAACCCCUAUUGUUAGUUGCCAUCAUUCAGUUGGGCACUCUAGCGAGACUGCCGGUAAUAAACCGGAGGAAGUGGGAUGACGUCAAAUCAUCAUGCCCCUUAUGACCUGGGCUACACACGUGCUACAAUGGUUGGUACAACGAGUUGCGAGUCGGUGACGGCGAGCUAAUCUCUUAAAGCCAAUCUCAGUUCGGAUUGUAGGCUGCAACUCGCCUACAUGAAGUCGGAAUCGCUAGUAAUCGCGGAUCAGCACGCCGCGGUGAAUACGUUCCCUGGCCUU
rnacentral:rRNA from 1 species